rnacentral:misc_RNA from 1 species
AACGCACCUUGCACUCCUUGGUAUUCCGAGGAGUAUGCCUGUUUGAGUGUCAUGAAAUCAUCAACUCCAUAGUUUUGUUACUGUGAAGCUUGGACUUGGAAGCUGCUGGCUCUGUCGGCUCUUCUUAAAUAUAUUAGCUGCUUGUCCGUGGGUUGGCUCAGAGUGUGAUAAGUAUCUGCACUUGGUGGCUGCUCGCUUUGGAUGUGGCUUCUAAUCGUCUUUGGACAAUUUUUAAGAUCUGACCUCAAAUCAGGUAGGACUACCCGCUGAACUUAA